GAUGAACGCUAGCGGCAGGCCUAACACAUGCAAGUCGAGGGGUAGCAGGAUUAAGCUUGCUUAAUUGCUGACGACCGGCGCACGGGUGCGUAACGCGUAUGCAACCUACCUUAUACUGGGGUAUAGCCCGGAGAAAUUCGGAUUAAUCCCCCAUAGUACUAAUGAAUCGCAUGGUUUAUUAGUUAAAGCAUUGCGGUAUAAGAUGGGCAUGCGUCCUAUUAGCUAGAUGGUGAGGUAACGGCUCACCAUGGCUACGAUAGGUAGGGGGCCUGUGAGGGUGGUCCCCCACACUGGUACUGAGACACGGACCAGACUCCUACGGGAGGCAGCAGUGAGGAAGAUUGGUCAAUGGGCGCAAGCCUGAACCAGCCAUGCCGCGUGCAGGAAGAAUGCCCUAUGGGUUAUAAACUGCUUUUAUUUGGGAAUAAACCUCUUUACGUGUAGAGAGCUGAAGGUACCAAAUGAAUAAGCACCGGCUAACUCCGUGCCAGCCGCCGCGGUAA
rnacentral:rRNA from 1 species